GCCUCGAUAGCGCAGUAGGCAGCGCGCGAGUCUCAUAAUCUCGAGUUCGUGAGUUCGAACCUUACUCGGGGCA
rnacentral:tRNA from 1 species